CCUACGGGUGGCAGCAGUGAGGAAUAUUGGUCAAUGGGCGAGAGCCUGAACCAGCCAAGUCGCGUGAGGGAAGACGGUCCUAUGGAUUGUAAACCUCUUUUGCCGGGGAGCAAAAAGCGGUACGUGUACCGCAUCGAGAGUACCCGGAGAAAAAGCAUCGGCUAACUCCGUGCCAGCAGCCGCGGUAAUACGGAGGAUGCGAGCGUUGUCCGGAUUUACUGGGUGUAAAGGGCGUGUAGCCGGGAAGGCAAGUCAGAUGUGAAAUCCGGAGGCUCAACCUCCGAAUUGCAUUUGAAACUGUUUUUCUUGAGUACUGGAGAGGCAGACGGAAUUCCUUGUGUAGCGGUGAAAUGCGUAGAUAUAAGGAGGAACACCAGUGGCGAAGGCGGUCUGCUGGACAGCAACUGACGGUGAGGCGCGAAAGCGUGGGGAGCAAACAGGAUUAGAUACCCGAGUAGUC
rnacentral:rRNA from 1 species